AUAACGCUGGCGGCGUGCCUAACACAUGCAAGUCGAACGAAGCUCCCAGAAUUGAGUUUUCGGACAAGAGGACGGGAUGACUUAGUGGCGGACGGGUGAGUAAUGCGUGAGCAACCUGCCUUUCAGAGGGGGACAACAGUUGGAAACGACUGCUAAUACCGCAUAAUGUAUAUUGAUGGCAUCAUCGAUAUACCAAAGAUUUUAUCGCUGAAAGAUGGGCUCACGUCUGAUUAGCUAGUUGGUGAGGUAACGGCUCACCAAGGCUGCGAUCAGUAGCCGGACUGAGAGGUCGAACGGCCACAUUGGGACUGAGAUACGGCCCAGACUCCUACGGGAGGCAGCAGUGGGGAAUAUUGGGCAAUGGGCGCAAGCCUGACCCAGCAACGCCGCGUGAAGGAAGAAGGCUUUCGGGUUGUAAACUUCUUUUGGCAGGGACGAAAAAAAUGACGGUACCUGCAGAAUAAGCUCCGGCUAACUACGUG
rnacentral:rRNA from 1 species